rnacentral:rRNA from 1 species
AGUGAACGCUGGCGGUAGGCCUAACACAUGCAAGUCGAACGGCAGCACAGUAAGAGCUUGCUCUUACGGGUGGCGAGUGGCGGACGGGUGAGGAAUACAUCGGAAUCUACUUUUUCGUGGGGGAUAACGUAGGGAAACUUACGCUAAUACCGCAUACGACCUACGGGUGAAAGCAGGGGAUCUUCGGACCUUGCGCGAUUGAAUGAGCCGAUGUCGGAUUAGCUAGUUGGCGGGGUAAAGGCCCACCAAGGCGACGAUCCGUAGCUGGUCUGAGAGGAUGAUCAGCCACACUGGAACUGAGACACGGUCCAGACUCAUACGGGAGGCAGCAGUGGGGAAUAUUGGACAAUGGGCGCAAGCCUGAUCCAGCCAUACCGCGUGGGUGAAGAAGGCCUUCGGGUUGUAAAGCCCUUUUGUUGGGAAAGAAAAGCAGCAGGUUAAUACCCCGCUGUUCUGACGGUACCCAAAGAAUAAGCACCGGCUAACCUCGUG